GGCCGCCUGGCGAAAUGGCAUCGCGUCUGACUACGAUAUGUUAUGUCAAAUCAGGAGAUUGCAGGUUCGACCCCUGCGGUGGUCA
rfam:Sphaerobolus stellatus SS14 unplaced genomic scaffold SPHSTscaffold_104, whole genome shotgun sequence.